rnacentral:lncRNA from 1 species
CAGCCAUGUCUCCAACGUCCUGCGAAGCUUAAGCAACACAGGUCUCAUAUUAACGCUGCAGAGAUUCACCAACGCAAGAGAAGUAAUAAUCCACACCGAGCUAUUGGCUGCUCAAGACAACUACCUCAUCGGGCAAGAACUCUUCGACGAACUUAUGAUUUACGCAGCUCGUUCCGAUAAUCUGCUUAAUCUCCCUGGAAUAACCGGAGGGUUCCUUGUUGAUGCAAUGGUCGAACACUUGGAAGAAAUAAACAUUUCCUGCGGAUUAAAGCCUUCGAGUGCUGAAGCAUCCGAGUUGAUUCAAGGUGUUCUUGGGGAAGUUCCAAAGUGGGCAGCAUUGGCACGGGUUGAGAUGGACGAAGUUGUCGGUAUCGAGAUGGAGAAAUGGAUGGAUCUUGAAACCCAUUUGUUUGGAGUUGGAUCAGAGAUUGCGUAUGAGAUCGUUAUGUGUUUGGUUGAAGAGUUAGCUAUGGAUCUACUUUAGUAUUUGUGUAAUUCACACUAUUAAACCAUUUGAAUCAUAUGAUCAAUGCUUAUUGUUAGAAUAGUAUCACAAAUCAACAAACCAAAUCAUAAUAAAAACAAACGAUUCAAUCUUUAUCAAUCAAAACCUAAAAACAAAUCAAAUCGUGUUCGAUUAGACAUUAAGUUUGUCUGUAACCUAGAAUAGUCCGACCACCACCACCACCGCUGACUGAUUUCCUCCUCCCUCCUCCUCCUCCUCCGCCGAGUGACUUCCUUCCACCGCCAUUAAUGGCUGAAGCUACGGCGGUGGAAAUUUAAAAGGGGUGUAAAACAAUCUCUCUCGAGCCCCUUUCACCGCCAGUGACAGCAGAGAGAAUCACACAGUAAAAGGAUUUUUAACUCUCUCAUCUCUCUUUCAGUCACUUCGUCACUAUCGUUUAGCUUUUGUCUCCUUUCACCUUUUUAACUCAACUGCGAAUAUUACCCGUUGAGUUGAGUCCCAUUUUUUGAUAAAACACUUUUUUUAUCUUCUUUUUAAAAGCUCAGUUUCUUUUUUGUAAUAAAAAAUAAAUCAGAGUGUGUUUCUUCUUCUUCUUCCACUGUACAAAUCGUCGUUUUGCUGAUUUCCAUCUGUCUCCUUUCUUUCCCCUUUCUCGUAACUUGUCGAUAUUUUGCUCUAAUGUACACUCUUCUUCUCUGCUUUUCCUAAAGAGAUUCUUCUUCUUCUUCUUCCUCCUCCUCCUCACGAGCUCCAAAGUUUCAGAAAAAAACUGACAAUCUUUUUUUUCUUUUACAGAAUCGCAAUUCAAAGAAAGUCUUUUAUCUUAAGCUGUGAGCUCAGAUUCUGUCAAGAUAUUCUUUCACCAGAGAAUGAUAGUUCUUAAGCUUGAGCUUCAGAUUCUGUCUAGAUAUUCUUUCACCAGAGAAUGAUUGUUCUUCUCCGGUGAAGUUAUUGGAAUGCGAAACGUUUAUCUGUGAGGUGUUUCCUUCUCUCUGAGCUUUUGUGUCGGUCGUUAGGGUUUGGUGGUAAUGACGGGUGAGUUACAGGAGACGGUGGCGCCGUGUGGGGCCAUAACUGAGAAACGGCCAAGCCGACUCAGCGGUUGCGUCGGCGUAUUCUUCCAGCUCUUCGAUUGGAACCGACGCUUCUCCAAAAAGAAGCUCUUUUCUCGCAAAUCUCUUCUUCCUGGUUAGUGCCUCGGUUUAUUAUCUACACGGUUGUGUCUGAAAAUGAAAAAGAGAUUCUUGUUUCGUUUUUUUUUUCUCAGGGAAACAAGCUUCUAAGAGGUUUGGUGGGAAUGAUAAACUGCUCAAAUCUAAGCUUAACCUGGUGAUUAUUUCCCCCUUUUUUAGUUAAAAGUUUAAAUCUCUAGUUUGGUUUGAGUUGUAUGUCUCUUUUGUUUUGAAGAUUGAUGAUGAGAAGAGAGGAAGUUUCCCGAACCGAGGUGAAGUUGUGGACUUUAAAAGGCAUGAGAUGAGACCUCCUAGUUUGGUAGCACGUUUGAUGGGACUUGAAUCAAUACCUUCUAAUCACAAGAAGAAGAAGAAGUCAUCACAUUUGAUGAAUCAGGACAAGGAUAAAUGCCUUUUGUCUGAGGAGGAAGAAGAAGAAGAAGAUAGUGGUUUGGAUAAGUCUAGGCCACAGAAGAUGCAGAGAACAAUAAGAGGUGUGUGCGACAGGCGUGUUAUGGUGAAGAAGUUUGGAUCAGACGCCAUGCAGAUCAAGAACGUUUUGACCCGAGUAAGGAAACAUCAUCACCAGCAUCAGAAUCUGGCUUCUCCUGUUAAAAGCCCGAGGCUUCAGAGGCGUAACUCUAGGUUGAUCAACGCUGCUGCUAGGAUUCUGGAACCGGGGAAGAGAAAUUCGAAAUACAACGCUAUUGCUUAUCCAAGUUCUUCCAGGACUAUAAGGUGUGGAAACGUUGGGAAAGAGACUGCUGUUUCACCUGAUUAUAACACUAGUGUUGCUUCUUGUAAAGCCUGUGGUAGCUUUGUUGAUGUUCAUGGUUCUAGUUCUGUACCUGAAGAGAGUGGAAAGAGCAUGGUUUGUGUUUCUGAAUCAACUCCCUUCGAGAGGAGUAAAAGAAGUGUGCAUUGGAGAAAUCAAGAACCAUCUAUGCCUGUUUCUGGUAAAGGCAGAGGCUGUAUAGAUCAAAUGGAGAGGAAGGCUCUUCACCGUGCUCGGUUUCCUCCUGUCCCUGAAUCUUACACCUUACAGAGAAGCAGAGGUUCGUCUUCACCUGCAAAUGCCAUCAACUAUAAAGACAAGGACUUUAUUGCCAUGAAUAGAGGUUCAGCUAGCAGAGCUAAAUUUGAAAACUCUGGUUUGAAUCUGCAGAGAAGGUCUCACACUAGAAUUGAGGAGUCUUGUAAUAGAUCAGGUCUGAACACUUGUGCACGGAAGAGAAGGCCAGCUUGUGAAACCGCGUUUUCUCCAUUGAAACUUGGUUCCCCUCAAAGAGAUUAUAGCCAAUGCUGCAGAGAAACUAAAGAGAGAAAAAGACCGCCACGUGUUCCAAAUCAGAUGGGUCAGAAAAGAAUACAAGUUGAUGCCGGUACUGUGGGUUUGAUUCAGCAGAAGUUGGAAGAAAUCACUUCUCAAGAAGAAGAUGCAUUGCCCAGUAAACCGGCCUCUUUGAUCCUCCAUGAGUUGCUUUCUUCACUAGCACGCGAGCAGACUUACUCCAGGGAUGUUGAUAAUCGGGUAUGUUUUAUAAUACUCUGCAAGAAUGUUUUAGUAUUUUUUUUUUCAUUUUCUAUUCAUUCUUCUUUCUUAACUCUUGCAGAAGAAAGGCAAAACAGAGAUGUGGAGUUCCAUUGGAAAUGCAAACAGUGACUACACAAGCCCUGGUUCUGUACUGGAUGCAUCUUUCUCUAACGAGAGUUGCUUUUCCAAUAGCUUUGACAAUAUCUCAGGUUACAUAAAGAUCUAUUCAGACAGUAAUUUAAGUUCUUGAAUCUGAAACCUGAAACUGCCGUUAUGAUUUGUGUAGUUCCAGGACAGAUGAGGAUGCCUCUAGAGCCAGUAGAGCCCGAUUGGGACGUUCUUGAAGACUCCGCGACUUUGUUCAAGAACUCAACGAGUGUUGGUAACUAUCAAGCGAUCACCAGUCUGGUCAGCCAUGUCUCCAACGUCCUGCGAAGCUUAAGCAACACAGGUCUCAUAUUAACGCUGCAGAGAUUCACCAACGCAAGAGAAGUAAUAAUCCACACCGAGCUAUUGGCUGCUCAAGACAACUACCUCAUCGGGCAAGAACUCUUCGACGAACUUAUGAUUUACGCAGCUCGUUCCGAUAAUCUGCUUAAUCUCCCUGGAAUAACCGGAGGGUUCCUUGUUGAUGCAAUGGUCGAACACUUGGAAGA